rnacentral:rRNA from 1 species
CAAUAGCGUAUAUUAAAGUUGUUGCAGUUAAAAAGCUCGUAGUUGGAUUUGUGGCGUACGGUGUGUUCCGGGCACUUGUUGUCUGAGUAACCUGCUGUUGCCAUCCUUGGGUGGAACCUGUGUGGCAUUAGGUUGUCGUGCAGGGGAUGCCCAUCAUUUACUGUGAAAAAAUUAGAGUGUUCAAAGCAGGCUUAUGCCGUUGAAUAUAUUAGCAUGGAAUAAUGAGAUAGGACUUUUUUGCUAUUUUAUUGGUUUGCGCAAGAAGGUAAUGAUUAAUAGGGACAGUUGGGGGUAUUCGUAUUCCAUUGUCAGAGGUGAAAUUCUUGGAUUUUUGGAAGACGAACUACUGCGAAAGCAUUUACCAAGGAUGUUUUCAUUAA